rnacentral:lncRNA from 1 species
AGCCAGGUCUCCAGGUCCUCCGUGAUCAGGUCUCUGCUCUUCUGCAGCCUCAUCUCUGCCAUUCUUCACCUUUUGUGCUCCAACCCAAUCUGGUUUUCUUCUCAUGCUUUGAACACCCCAAGUCUGUCUGCUUCAGGAGCUUCGUACUGGCUAAUCAUUCACCACAGCAUACUCCCAUCUAUACGGCUGGCUCUUAUAUUAUGGGUCUCAGCUAAAAUGUCAUCCCUUCAAAGAGACCUUCUUGGACCACCCCCGCCAUUCUCUAUCCUAUUUCUCUCUUUUAUUUUCUUUGAAGCACUUACCCACUUUCAGAAACUAUCUGGCUUGCUCAUGUGUUUGUCUCUAGAUUGUCUACUUCCCCUCCUAGACUGUACUCUCCACAAGAGAGCAAAGCUGUGUCUGUUGCAUUCACUGUUGUCUUCCCAGAAGCAAGCAGCAUGCUGGAGACCCUCAAAUACAUGUGAAAUGAAGGGACACCUUGUGUUAUUUCACCUGUUUCCACCUGGUUCCCAAGUGGCAAGCUUGCAUUGAGGUUACAAAGUGGCAAAGCUGGGAUAUCACAUGAUGUCACCAUGAUGCUAUAUGAAAUGUAACAUUAAUUGAGUACCUAUGUGACCAGUUCUUUAAUUCUGUAAGUGAACUCUCAAAAAACCCUAGAGCACUGCGUGUUUUGAAAUAUACAAAUAGUGGGAAACGAAAUCUUUGUUCUGGAUGCAGUUAUAAUUUGGAAAGCGAGGAAAUAAAUUAUAACAAGGGGAAAAAACAGACACAGAGGGAUUGAAAUGCAUAACAAUAGAGAUGAAACACGAAGAGUGAUAAAUGAAGAUUGAGUGUGCACACCUUCUGGAGGAGCCCUGAUUGAGUAUUUUAAAAUACUACUAAAGUCAUGCCGUGUGACUUCUGAAGCUAGCUCCUAAGAAGUCCUUGCAGCUUCUGCCUGCGACUCUUAGAACACUUGCUUUGAAGGAUGCCAGAUGCUGUCUUAAAAGUCUGAGCACUCUGAAACCAUCAUGCUGUGAGGAAGCCCAAGCUAACCACAUGGGCAAAAAAGAUGCCCUCUGACUGCCACCAUUUGAGACACUCUAAUUAAGAACUGCCUCAUUGAGCCCAUGAGGCCCUGUGAAUGAUAAUAAUAAAUUGUUUUUAACCACUAUGUUUUUGGAUUUGUUAUAAGUUUAUAGAUAACAAGAAAAAGUUAUAUUAGCAUGGUAAUAAAAUUAUGGAUAUGUGUAA